UGAGUAACACGUAUCCAACCUUCCGUACACUCAGGGAUAGCCUUUCGAAAGAAAGAUUAAUACCUGAUGGUAUCUUAAGCACACAUGUAAUUAAGAUUAAAGAUUUAUCGGUGUACGAUGGGGAUGCGUUCCAUUAGGUAGUAGGCGGGGUAACGGCCCACCUAGCCUACGAUGGAUAGGGGUUCUGAGAGGAAGGUCCCCCACAUUGGAACUGAGACACGGUCCAAACUCCUACGGGAGGCAGCAGUGAGGAAUAUUGGUCAAUGGACGAGAGUCUGAACCAGCCAAGUAGCGUGAAGGAUGAAGGUCCUACGGAUUGUAAACUUCUUUUAUAAGGGAAUAAAACCUCCCACGUGUGGGAGCUUGUAUGUACCUUAUGAAUAAGCAUCGGCUAACUCCGUGCCAGCAGCCGCGGUAAUACGGAGGAUCCGAGCGUUAUCCGGAUUUAUUGGGUUUAAAGGGAGCGUAGGUGGAAGAUUAAGUCAGCCUGUGAAAGUUUGCGGCUCAACCGUAAAAUUGCAGUUGAUACUGGUUUUCUUGAGUGCAGUAGAGGUGGGAGGAAUUCGUGGUGUAGCGGUGAAAUGCUUAGAUAUCACGAAGAGCUCC
rnacentral:rRNA from 1 species